ensembl:lncRNA
GGCAAGCGAGUCGAAAACAGAGGAGCCACUGGAGGUGAGCUAGACGAGCCGAUCGACCCCAGCUGGCCUGCAGAGGGGGAGGCAGGGGGAGGCAGGGGGAGGUAGAGGGAGGCAGAAGGAGGCUCCCAGUUGCUGCUGCUGCCUCCUCUAAAACCUUCCUCAUCCUCGUUUGAAGUGAGGAGACGCAGCAGAGAAUGCUGAGCGCUGCAGAAAAAGGCCGAAGCCAUCGAUUGGGUCUCCUGCAGGAAACUGCCUGGGGAGGAGGGGGAGGAGGAAGGGGGAGGAUGGGGGGAGGAGGGGGGAGGCCAGCCGGGUGUUUGCUGAUGUUAAAAGUUAGCUGGAGAUUGUCGGAUUAGAAGCGGCGAGGCGGCGGCGGCCCGGCGGCCCGGAGCAGCCAUCAUGGUGGCACACCGAUCAAUGGGGACGAUAAACCGAGGAGGAACCUUUCAUGUCGGAUCAAAGAGUCCAGAGUGAUGGAGAUGAGGAUGAAGGAGGUGAGACAGUUUGAGGCAUAGAGGGAGGACCCAAACAGAACAGAACAUCUGGAUUCAGUAGUUUUUUUUCUCCUUGUCAACUUGGUUUCAGCGUAUUAAGAGAUUAUGGGAGCAUGCAGUUAUAUUCAUGGUUAUUGUACAUCAGCUAUAAUCAGAGGGGCCUGACAGACAGCAAAGGCUACUGGUGUUCAGAAAUGUCAACAGUUACAAACAAGUAUCGUAUUCAGUUUUCAGAAGAGCAUUAUAAUACAGGUUUCACAGGCACUACAUUUGAUCUUUUCAAUAAUAUCGUGUAAUAUGCUGGUUUGUUUUUAUUUUCUUCUUUUUCAGGUGUAUAACUCGUUCGGUCCGAGGAAGCUGGGAUCUGGAAGGAUUGACCGAAAGGAAGGCAGAGGCUUUCACAGAGUGGAUCAAACCGAAAAGUCCACGUGAUUCAGGCGCGCGCACGUGAGCCACGCCACGUGCACGUGUGGGUGUUUUUAGUCAGUGCAUAGUUCUCAUGCAGAUUAACCUGCGCUGCUUUAGAUCGCCGUCAGGAAGCGUGAUGGGAGUUCAGACCGUCUUCCAGCUGACCUGCCCUCUGCCAGCUCGACGCUACGCUAGCACCAUGUGACCGAUCGACCAAUAGGAUCGACCAAUAGGAUCAUUAGAUACCAGAACACCUGGAGGACGCUUCAGCGCCACCUGCUGCCUCCUUCAGCUCAGCCAAUCACAGCUGGAGGAGGAAGUCCAGUUCCACUGAAGCUCCCGCCGGUCCGAUUGUUCCACGAGUUUCUGCGUUCUGCUAUAAGUCAUCUGGGGUGGAUUAAUUACCCUGCUAAGGGUUCUGCCCCCACUAAGGGUUCUAUCCCUACUAAGGGUUCUGCCCCCCCUAAAGGUUCUGCCCCACUAAGGGUUCUGCCCCCCUAAAGGUUCUGCCCCACUAAGGGUUCUGCCCCACUAAGGGUUCUGCCCCACUCCACGUUCUCAUUGUUCCCGACCCGCAGACUCACAGCAGCCCAGUUCGAUGGGGUCUCAGGUAGUGGUGGGGGGAGGAUAUGGGGAAGAUAUGGAGGAGGAUGGGGAGGAUAUAGGGGAGGAUAGGGGAGAAUAUGGAGGAGGAAGGGGGAGGAUAUGGAGGAGGAAGGGGGAGGAUAUGGGGGAGGAAUGGGGAUGGGGGAGGAUAUGGGGGGAGGAAGGGGGAUGAGGGGGGAGGAUAUGGGGGAAGACAUGGAGGAGGAUGGGGAGGAUAUGGGGAGGAUAUAGGGGAGGAUAGGGGAGAAUAUGGGGCAGGAUGGGGGAGGAUAUAGGGGAGAAUAUGGGGGAUGGGGGAGGAUUUGGUGGAGGAAAGGAGGAGGAUAUGGGGAGGAUAGAAGAGAAAGGGGGAGGAUAUAGGGAGGAUUUGGGGAAUGAAUGAGGGAGAUAUGGGGAGGACUGGUUGAGAAUUGGGGAGGGUAUGGGGGAGGAUGAGAGAGGAUAUAGGGAGAACUGGGGCGAAUUUGGGGGAGCAUAGAGGAGGAAGGCGGAGGACAUGGGGGAAGAUGAGGGAGGAUAUGGGGAAGGAUAAUCACUGCCCAGCAGAAUUUGGACAAACGCGAAGACAACGAAGGCGUCAGUAAAACCUUCAUUCAACCCUGUUUCCUGAUGGAGCGGCAGAAUCCCUCAAAUCCAAAAAUCAACUCAACGAAGGGGGAGGUGCAAAGAGGGGUGUGGAGAGGUGAGGAGGGGUGAGGAGAGGGCAGGAGGCGAAUACAAGUCUCCUGGAGUUUUAUCAGUCUUUGACUCCAGCUCUGUCCCUCGUAUUGCUGGAUUGGACGGUUUAGUGACGGCGGCGGCGGGACAGUCUGCUGGUGUAUGUUAGCAUGUGUUAGCAUGUGUUAGCCUCAGCUGGUCGGACGCAGCGUUCAGCUUCAUCACUCUUUCAGGUUCGGCUCAGAUUUGUGUGUUCGUGGAGGUGAUGAGGCCGUAAGUGGAGGAAGUUUAGCGGGCUUCCCUCCACCAACGCCGCACACCAAACUAUUUACAAAUAAUUUUAAUUUCUACGACGGCAGGUCCAGUGUGAUCAGAAUAUUGUGGGUUCAGUUUCACUUCAGCUGCUUUAGAAGAUCUUUUGGUUUGAACGACAUCAGGACAACUGAAAUAAAUCCUGUCUGGAGCUGCUGUGAGAUGUUUUAAUGUGAUCUCAGGGGAUUCCUGGGAUCAGAUCAACUUAGCUGCUAGCUCAAUUGAACCUAAAAUAAUCAGUUAGCAAAGUUGGUAGCUGCUAAGCUAACCAUUAAACCAACAUCAAAGUUUCUCAGCUGCACAGCUUAACAUUAGGCUAAUAUUAAAACUUUUAUGUGCUAAACUCCAAGUGUGUAGCAGCUAGCUUGAUAUUAAGCUAAUAGACUGAUUUAGCUCCUCAACUCAACAUUAAGCUAACACAGCGUUUUAGCUGCUGAACUGGACAUUGAGCUAACUUCAACACGUUUUAGCUGCCUAUUUCAACAAUAAGCUAACUUUAACAAGUUUUAGCUGCCUAACUCAACAAUAAGCUAACCUAAAAGUGGUUUAAUUCAAUUCGACAUCAAGCUAACAGUGUUUUAGCUGCUAAUCUGGGAAUUGAGCUAACUUUAACAUGUUUUAGCUGCUGAACUCAACAAUAAGCUAACCUAAACAAGUUUUAGCUGCCGAACUCAACAAUAAGCUAACAUGAAACUGGUUCAAUUCAACUCAACAUUAAGCUAAAUUUACUGCAUUUAAGCUGCUUAACUCAACUAUAAGUGCUGCAUAUAAAUAACUUCCCUCACAUGUCAUAUCUAUGCAUUCAAAGCUUUUGCGUACCAUUUUACACUGAUAAAACACAAAUAAAAUAGUUUAGCUUAAGAUAAAGCUCAGGCGGGAGUCAAUGCAGCUAAAUGGUUUGUAAUUAAACAUUAAAUUUUUAAAAAUGACGUUUGUGUUGCUCUUAGCAUAACGCACUUUUCUGCAUAAACCCAAAGAUCAUCCCUCAAUCAAUCAAUCAAUUAAUACGUGUUCAACAGAAAGUUCUUCUGCAACCACCAUCUGGCCACCACUAUCGAUUAUUUUCUGGAUGGAUCGAUUAGCUUUUUGGUCAAUAAAAUGUCAGAAAAUGUUGAAAAAUGUGGAUCAGAGUUUCCUCAAAUGUCUGGUUUAGUCCAAAGAUCUUCAGUUUACUGUCAGAAAGGAACGAAACCAGAAACUAUUCACAGUGAAGAAGCUGAAAUCACAGAAUUUAGACAGUUUUUCUGAAAAACAACUCAAAUUGAUUAAAUAUGAACAUAGAUGGCAACUGAUUUAAUGAUGAAUUUAUCACUAGGUCUAUAAAGGAUUAAUGGACUUUAGACACAAUAAACUGAACAUCUCUGGGUUGUAGUUUGCUGAUCGGACGACAACGAAGAUUUUCUGACAAUGUAGAGACCAAACGAUUGAUCGAGAAGAUUAAUCGAAACGCAUUUGUGGAGGUAAAAUGUCAUCAGAGGCGUGAAACUGAGCAGAAACUCUGACCAAACUGGAAACCGCCGUUGGUCUCGGCGACACGUCGUCUCGGCUGAUUAUCUGCUGCAUGUAUGUGAUGCUGUGAUGAGCAGCAGCGAUGUGUGGAUGGACCUCCAGGCUCAGGGAGGGCUGGUGAGGAGGAGGAGGAGGAGGAGGAGGAGGAGGAGGAGGAGGAGGAGGAGGAGGAGGAGGAGGAGGAGGAGGAGGAGGUGAACUUGUGGGCCAGUGAAGAAAGAAACAGAUGGAAAAGAAAAAGAAUCAUGUUGCAUAAUCAAGCUGUUUAUUUUCCUGCAUGGAAUGGUGAACACAAAAAAAGAUGCCGAGAUGCAUUUAUAGUAGGGGCAUCCUUUGGCUGCUAUGUCAUUGUCUCCUGCCUAAAACUAAAGUUUUUAAAUGCAUAAAAAAGUUCGCUUUUCUUUCCAAUUUUCCUCAGAAUUACUAGAUUUAGCUUCAUCAACACUGAUGCAACAAAGAACCUUCAAAAACAUACAGCAUACUGAAACAUCCAUUUACAAUGGUCUUAUCACCACAGCGCCCUAGACUGUGUAAGUGCAGGAAUAUGCUAUACCAUCAACAGAGGAAAUGUCCUUAAAUACAUACAAAAAGGAAAGCAAAUAAAGAAAAAUCAAGAAAAUUAGGAAACAGGAAAGUUUUCAACUUAAAUCCAGUUCCCAGAAAACAAACCAAACCAGUUCUAGUAAUGUGGCCUCGAUACAAACAAUCAGAAAAUUCACAACACUAGUUUUUCCUCAUUUAAUCAAUGUUACAAAAGUCCUGCAUUAUAAAAUAGGGCAGCUUUAAAAUCAGUGUAAUUAAUAAAACUAUACAACAUACAAACACGUCUCCCAGUCAGGCUGCUCUGCUCUCCGUCCGUCAGCAGCUAACUCUGCUCUGCGUCGCUUCGCUGAUGUACCAAACUAAAUUACACACACAACACAAGAACAAAACACACUGCCCAAACUAUUGCUUUAUAUUCUUUUUUUCUGUCUUUAAAAAGGGUGCAAUUUUGUUGUUAUCUUACACACACAGCCGAAAGUCGCUGAUUAGAUGCUAGGCUGUUUCACAAGUUUUUUUGUGACACUUUAAAAAAAUGUCCGUGCAAUUAUUUUUAUUCCCUUCACUCUUUUUAAGCCCUGGAAGCUGUUUUUUUUUUUUUUUUUUUUUUAAAUUUCAUACUUUUUCACUAUUUACUUCAUAUUUAGUGCAGAUAAUUAAUGCCCAACUCAUGGCUAAAGGGUAGGCAAGAACAGAGACAGAACAAACACGAAGAGGAAACAACCCACACAAGUGGAACGACUCGACCAUCACAGCCAACACACGACGCGUUUGAUUCGCUGAAACCUCGGCGGCAGUAAAAAAGUUCUCACUGACUGUUUUUUUUCUGUGUGAUGGAGAAGAAGUUGGACUUGUUUAAGGCUUGCUUGCGACCAAAGAAAUCAAAUAUAAAAUCUUUUAGAAAAGAGACCCGGAUGUCGUAUUGCGGCCGUCUGGUAGUUUUUUUUUUGUUUUUUUUUUAUCAAAACAGGAAGUCAGGAGGAAGGAAAAGACCCGAGCGUCGCCACCGGGUUUCACCAUUUUUAGGGACUGACCACGGAGCACGAUGGCAGUCACGUGCACGCCAACUUUGGUUGAAAGUAAAGAUAAAACUCAAUAAAGACAAAGUAAGUGAGUGCAAGCAGGUAUUGCAUAUUUGAUGUCCUCAUUAUUCAUAUCUGGGAACGAAAGUUGGAGAACGAACGAACGGAAAACAGGAAGACACGAACAGUAAACUUCUGUUGUUCGGAGUUUUGCAGCAACAGAUGUAAAAAAAAUGUCGCACCAGACGAAGGAGAAGAAAAACAUGAUUAAACUGAACUGAUCUGCAGCUUUACGCUCUGCUUCAUCGACACGCCGGCAGCAGGAAGUUUAGUCAAAGGAGCAAAACGUCUUCAGGCAUCAGGAGAAAAGUUUAUAAUUUCAGAUUAAUUACACGGUGACUUUUUUAAAAGUUGGAGACUUCGCUAACAGAAGUUCACCUGUUGCUAAACUGUACUGACAGGAUUCAAGUCAAUUUGUUAGUCAAACUGAACCAAAGUACUCAGUUAGCAAAGAGUAACUAAAGCGUUUUAGCUGCUAAGCUCAGUGUUAAACUAAAAUUAAAGUCUUUCAGAUGCUAAACUCAAAGCACUUUAGCUGCUAUUCUUCAAAUUAAACUAAAAUUAAAGUGUUUUAGAUGUUAAACUCAAUUCGGUAUCAGGCUAACUUUAAAAUGUUUCAGCUGCUAAUUCACUAGCAUUUAAGCUAGCAUUAAAAGGUUUUAGCUUCAAAAAUUGACAUUAAGCUAAGACUGAAAUGAUUUAGCUGCAAAAUUUCAAGUAUUUUAGCUGCUAAUAUUGACAUCCUACCAAUACUAAAUUGUCUUAGCUACUAAACUCAAAGCACUUUAGCUGCUAUUCUUGAGAUGAAACUAAAAUUAAAGUGUUUUAGAUGCUAAACUCAACUUCCAGUUACCUUCACCAUGUUUUAGCUGCGAAACUCAAAGUAUUCUACCUGCUAACUUCAACGCUAUAGCUGCUACACUUGACAUUAAGCUAAGCCUGUAAACCUUCAUUUUUUUUGUUGCUCAUAUCAACAUUAAACUAACUUAGCUGAUAAACAUAGCAUUAAGGUAGCCUUGAUGAAAAUGUUUCACUGUUAACUUAGCAUUCAGCUAAUCAUAAUCAAACUGUUUUAGCUGCUAAGUUUAGGUUAAUGUUGAUGUGUCGUGGCUUGUAGACUUUCAAAUAAUUUUUUAGCUUCUCAAUUCAGCAUCAGGUUAACUUUAAUUAAAAUGUUUCAGCUAUUAAUUCACUAGCAUUUAAGUUAGCAUUAAAAGGUUUUAGCUUCAAGACUCGACAUUCAGCUAAGACUUAAAUGAUUUAGCUGCAAAAUUUCAAGUACUUUAGCUGCUAAACUUGACAUCAUGCUAAUACUAAAGUGUCUUAGCUGCUAAACUCAAAGUGCUUCAGCUGCUAUUCUUGACAUUAAACUGAAAUUAAAGUGUUUUAGAUGCUAAACUCAACUUUGUUACCUUCACUAUCUCUUAGCUGCGAAACUCAAAGUCUUUUACCAGCUAACUUCAACGUGCUAUAGCGGCUACAUUUGACAUUAAGCUAUGCUUGUUAUGAUACGUUAACCUUUGUUUUUUAGUUGCUCUUAUCAACGUUAAGCUAACUUGGCUGAUAAAUGUAGCAUUAAGGUAGGCUUGAUGAAAAUGUUUUAAUGUCAACUUAGCAUUCAGCUAACCACAAUCAAACUGCUUUAGCUGCUAAGUUUAAGUUAAUGUUGAUGUGUUGUGGCUUCUAGACUUUCAAAGGUUUUUUAGCUUCUCAAUUCAGCAUCAGGCUAACUUUAAUUAGUGCUUUAGCUGCUAAUUUGCUAGCAUUUCAGCUAGCAUUAAAAAGUGUGAGCUACAAGACUUGACAUUAAGCUAAGACUGAAAUGAUUUAGCUGCUAAAUUUCAAGUAUUUUACCUGCUAAACUUGACAUCAUGCUAAUACUAAAGUGUUUUAGCUGCUAAAUUUGACAUUAAUGUAACUGCAAAGUUUUUAGUUGAUAAUCUUACCAUUAAGCUAACGUUUAAGAGUCUUUGCUACUUCUCCACUCAUGAACUAGUGAAUAUCUUCAAAUGUUAGAUAAUUAGGGCCAAAAUGUUUUGCUGCUAAUCAGAGCUAACAAAUCUGAUCAUCUGUCAGCUAAUAGGCUCACCUGAUUCAUGUGAUUCAAUGUUUUCAUCACUUAGCUGUUAUUAGUUGUUAGCUAAACAGAUAUAGCUGUCAAACUGAGUUAUUUGACCUUUAGGAUUGGCGCUAUACAUCCUUAGACAUACUUCAAGUUGCUAAACUGGAUAUUCGCUGAUGUUGUACCAUGUUUUUAGAGCUAAACUAAAAACCUAUUAAACCUGAACGAACCCCCAUUAGCUGCCCGUUAGCUAAAAUUGCCUACAGCUGAAAAUAUUUAUGUCUCUGAGAUUUUCGUUGUGGAUUAAUUUAAGUGUCCGAUUACUAAACAUGGCAUAAGUUCAGACUCGGUGCUCGUUUGACUAAGUUUCCAGGCUUCCAGGUGUCAGCAGGGAGACGAUGACCUGAUGGUAGCUGGUGUCGGUUUCACCUGUGAGGACUCGACUCGGCAGCCGGAGACCUCGUAAUACUGAGAGUUUACCAGCGACUAAUUCACAGCGUUCCUCUUCAGCUUUGACGUUUUUGCUCCUACAAAAUCUCAGGUGUGGAGGAAAACCAGGAAAAACGAAACAACCAAACGCGACUCUCCACAUGGGAUCUUGUGCGGCGACCUGUCAGGACUGGACCGUAGCUCAAGGCACAUCGAUGAGGAACAAUUGUUUUCGUGCAAUUUGAUGAGAGAGAACGUCUUGGAACUGAAAAGCAGAAUCGAUCUGUUGUUGCAGGAGGAGGAAGGAAGGAGGAAGGGAGGGAGGAGAAAUUAAAAAGAAUGGAGAGAUGCCGAGAAGCGAAGAGAGCUGGUUGUUUGUGAAGGACAGCGAUAGAAAAAGGCCUCGACAGGCCAAACUAAUAGACGGCUGCUGGCAAGUGCCUGAUGUUGGGUUUUACAAUAUAGUGUCUUUAUCUUACUAACUACAUCAUCUAUGGAAAAAUUUGUCACUAACACUAGAACAUGCAGAUUUUUUUUGUUCUUUUUUAUAGCUUUUUCACUUAAAUUCACUUUUGUUCAACGCUGGAUGGUCGUAAGAGUGUGUGUGGGUGUGUGUGUGUGUAUAUAUAUUUAUAUAUAUAUAUAGUAUAGGAAAAAGAAAAACAAAACUGAAGUUCAAUAAAAUGGUAAGUUGCAUGUGAAGCGCUCGGCUUUUUGUGGACGAAAGCUUCCAGAGAGUUACCCUCUGCUCUGCCUCUGUAUCGCUAAACCACACCCCCUGAUUACAAAUUCACGGCCUAUUGGCCAACUGCAGGAAUAAGUGCUUCUGAUUGGACGGGACCUCUAGGAGACCCAGCCAAUCCUGGGGCAGCCCGUUAGCGGGCGGCACCCGUUAAAGAUUAUCUCACCAACAGAAACCGCAGAAAACACGAUUAGCUUUAAAUUCACUCGCUAAUUUUCUCCUCAUUUUACCUCAUGAGAAACUCAAAUCGCUUUUUUAAGUAAAAUGAUUAAAAUAAAUUAAUCGCUUAGCGCUUUUUUUGUUUUAAACAAAAUGAAAAGCAGACUUUAGCUGCAACGUAAUGCUUUCAAAAAUUGAUUGUUUCAACUGAUAUUUCUUAAAGGGAUCCUGGUUCUACCAUGCUAACAGCUUUACACGAUGAACAAACAAAUACGAAACAAUAAAAGUGAGUACAGCUCCUCUUAUUUCUCACAAGGCUGUGGUUUCUAGUUCAACGCUGUGUUGUUGUCUUUUUUACCCCAGUAUUUUAGAGUCCCAGAGGUGUGAGCGGACUAGGAAGAAAAAUAUAUAUUUAUAUAUACUUUUCAACAACUGUUUUCAAAGAGCUAUCUUACAAAGAUAUUUAAUUAUCCAACAGCUAGCCAACAAAAUUGCACUUUCCUCGUGAUCAAUAUUCCACUGGAAGUCACUCAUCUCUCCUGUCUGCCUGCUCGAUUCGGACACCAGAGUUUUCUGCCACCGUUCGCAUGCUGGAGCUUCAGACCGGCGAUGGAGGAGGAGGAGGAGGAGGAGCUGAAAUGGCGGCUAAGAGAGAAAAACCAAUGAGCCAUGAAGCCAAAGCCUCCCGCAGAAACAAGCUCGGAUCCACCAGCGUCUGGUCGCAACACUUCACAUCAACAAACCCCGAACCCCCGCGUAAACCCCCCACCGCCACCCGACCGCCCGUCGCCCUCCACCUGUAGGUUCAUGGUUUUACUGUCGGUGCCCAGAAGACCUCUGGCUGGUCGGCUCUGUCCGGUACGCACUGGUCCAUGUCCUCGGAGAGAGCCUCCUGACCUGCCGCCGGCGGGGGGUGGAGCCAACCCCGAUGGUGGUGGUGGUGGAGGGUCGGGGUAUUAGCUGGUGGUAUCUGCCUCAGUUAACACUCCACUACCCCCAACCACAUCCCAUCCUGGUCCACCGACCCAAGCGGUCAGGAUCCAGUGGGAUGGGGGGUCGGAUGGGGGGUCGGAUGGUGGGAGUCGGGGGGUCGUACCACUGCAAGUCCACUGGAUUCACACUGCAAAGGAUGAUGGGAAUAUGUAGUUCCUCCAGAGGGGAAGCUCUGUGAUUGAGUCUUGCUGAAGGCCAGGCGCCCCUACGGGUCAGCCUGGUCUGGAUCAGGAGGGGGGGCGGGGUCUGGCACUAUAUAUGGACACUGACGUAUGAGUCAUAUGUCUACAGGAAGUCUAGAGUUUACAGAGCAGGUGUUUAACACCGGGGGCGGGGCCUGUAGCCAUGCUGAUGCUGCUGAGUCUGUGUAUGGCGCUGGUGGGGGCGGAGUCAGGCGCAGAGAGGGGAGGGGCUUUCUGACACAGCUGGCGUCAAAGGUGGAGGAGGAGACUGCAGCGAUCUGUCGUACAGGUGGGUGGAGGGGGCGGGGCCUCUGGAGUCCUUAUCCCAG